rnacentral:lncRNA from 1 species
AUAGCAACGCUUCUUUCAUCUUUGUUGCUUCAUAUAGUUGAGAAAAGAUGCAAAAAUAGUAGGCAGAAGGAGAAACAAACCCUGAUGUUCCUCUCAGGUGUUAUCUGAAAGCAUACCUGGUUGAUGUCAUUACUCCCACAUUAUCGCAGAUUAAAAAAUACAUCUUACUUGAGAAAUUGACAGUGCUUUAAACCACAAAUGCGUAGUGUACAUUAUGAACACAAGAUCGAGAAGAGGCCAGAAUAUUGUUCAGUUUCCCGUCUACUUCCACCCCUUUACCUUAGCUUCUCCUCUAUCCUAGGAGAUAGCCUAAUAGUAUUCUGUGUGUACUGUGAGGUACAAAUCAGGAUCCUUUCAUGUCCUUUAAACUCCAAUGCAAAAGAGUAGACUAUAGAAGUUUGUCUCUUCUAUAAUCUUCUCCCUUCUCUGCCUCAGCAUCCCUCCUACAUCUCCCCAACCCUGAAUGGGUCAGCAAGGAACUCUCAGGCCUUGACUACCUAAUCUGCUUAAUGACGGACUAGUCUUGUUACAAAGAAGAAUAAAAAUAAAGUUAUUUUAUUUUCACUCAGAGUGUAUUUAUAAACUACAUAAUUUUUUACAUCGACACGACCUCAGGUCUACAGAAGAGUUGCA